UCCGCCCCGGAGUGGCCACGCCCACCUGGCCACGCCCAGGAUGCCUGGGUCUCGCUCCCCACAGCCUAGCGGAGCCGAGUCCGGGAGGGACGUGUCUCACCAGCUCUCGGCCGACCCCCAGCCCCCGCCCCGCCCAUGGCCGCGUCGGGACCCCGCGCCUUCCGGGCCGCGCUCUGUGGUGGCUGCUGCUGCCUCCUCCUGUGCGCCCAGCUCGCUGUGGCUGGUAAAGGAGCUCGAGGCUUUGGGCGGGGAGCCCUGCUCCGAAUGAACAUCUGGCCAGCUGUCGGAGGGGCCUGCAAACAGUUCAAGCUCUGUGAGCAUUGUGUGGAGGGGCACAAAGCGCACAACCUCUCGGGCUGCGUGUGGGAGCAGUGUCAGCCAGAGGAACCAGGACACUGUGUGGCCCGAGCUGACGUGGUCAAGGAAGGUUGCUCUGUCUACAACCGCUCAGAGUCAUGUCCAGCUGCCCACCACCACCCCACCUAUGAACCAAAGACAGUCACGACAGGGAGCCCCCCAGUCCCUGAAGCCCACGGCCCUGGCUUUGAUGGGGCCAGCUUCAUCGGGGGCAUCGUGCUCGUGCUGAGCCUGCAGGCAGCGGCCUUCUUCGUCUUGCGCUUCCUCAAGGCCAAGGACAGCACCUACCAGACACUAGAGGAGAGCCAGUAGGUGAUAGCCCAGGCAAGCCUUCGUUCUGCAGCUCUGUGGCCGCAGGCAGGAGCCUGGGAUCAUUUGACCCCCUUCAGGCCUGGAUCCCACCCUGAGGGCAAGGAGGACGAAGAGGCUGCCCUCUUGGCCCCCUUGUAGAGGCGCUGGGGGCGGGAGAAACUUUGGCCACCAACUUCUGGCCCCUGUGGGCAUUAAGCAGGCGCAGUGCCUGACAGCUGACAUCCGCUCCUGUCCGGGGCCUGGUACCUGCAGCUGAGAGCAGCUUCAACCACCUCCUGUCUCUACCCAUCAUCCCAUGGGCCCUCUGCCUGGCACGGGGUCUGUGCCUGCCCCCUCCUACCCACCUGGCCUGGCACUGCCCCCAAAUAAAGGAAUUCUUUCCAGCUCUGUGCUUCA